rnacentral:ncRNA from 2 species
UCGAACCAGGGAGAUGGCAUUCCUCCCGGAACAGAAGUAACCGCCGCAAGGCUAAUGAUGCCUACCAAACG